AUUGAGUCCCAAAUAGGAUGAAACACGUGUCCUGAAU
rfam:Schistosoma curassoni strain Dakar, Senegal genome assembly, scaffold: SCTD_contig0007455